GGAUGAUGUUUAGUAAAUUGAAGAAAAGAGAAAAGCUCAGCUUCUUCUUCUCCAGAGUGACCGAAACUUUAAGCUCAAAAAGAUUUCAAUAAAACUAGCAAUCCGAACAAUCUGAAAGGAAAUGACAAAGCUUGUGACUAGUAUUAUCGUAUACAAGUUCUUAAGUGAGGCAAAGGUUCUAGUAAGGAUAAGUACGAUCAGUAAGGAGCUAUCA